rnacentral:rRNA from 1 species
UAAGAUCGGGAUAACUCCGGGAAACCGGGGCUAAUACCGGGUAAUACUUUCUUUCGCAUGAAGGAAAGUUGAAAGAUGGCUUCUCGCUAUCACUUACAGAUGGGCCCGCGGCGCAUUAGCUAGUUGGUGAGGUAACGGCUCACCAAGGCGACGAUGCGUAGCCGACCUGAGAGGGUGAUCGGCCACACUGGGACUGAGACACGGCCCAGACUCCUACGGGAGGCAGCAGUAGGGAAUCUUCCGCAAUGGACGAAAGUCUGACGGAGCAACGCCGCGUGAACGAUGAAGGUCUUCGGAUCGUAAAGUUCUGUUGUUAGGGAAGAACAAGUACCGUGCGAAUAGAGCGGUACCUUGACGGUACCUAACGAGGAAGCCCCGGCUAACUACGUGCCAGCAGCCGCGGUAAUACGUAGGGGGCAAGCGUUGUCCGGAAUUAUUGGGCGUAAAGCGCGCGCAGGCGGUUCCUUAAGUCUGAUGUGAAAGCCCACGGCUCAACCGUGGAGGGUCAUUGGAAACUGGGGAACUUGAGGACAGAAGAGGAGAGUGGAAUUCCACGUGUAGCGGUGAAAUGCGUAGAUAUGUGGAGGAACACCAGUGGCGAAGGCGACUCUCUGGUCUGUUUCUGACGCUGAGGUGCGAAAGCGUGGGUAGCAAACAGGAUUAGAUACCCUGGUAGUCCACGCCGUAAACGAUGAGUGCUAGGUGUUAGGGGGCUUCCACCCCUUAGUGCUGAAGUUAACGCAUUAAGCACUCCGCCUGGGGAGUACGGCCGCAAGGCUGAAACUCAAAGGAAUUGACGGGGGCCCGCACAAGCGGUGGAGCAUGUGGUUUAAUUCCAAGCAACGCGAAGAACCUUACCAGGUCUUGACAUCCUUGGACCUCCCUAAAGAUAGGGAUUUCCCUUCCGGGACCAAAUAACAGUGGUGGUUGGUUUUCUCACCUCCUUCCUGGAAAGUUGGUUUUAUUCCUCCACCGCCCCCCCCCCCUACUUUAUUUCCCCCUUCAAUUUGUACCCCUAGGGGCUGC